UAUGAUCAAGAAACCCAAAAUUCUACUGGUUACACCAGCCUUGGAGCCAUGUAUCAACCUCCUGGAUGUGCCUCUCUGCUACUGAAAAAAGAAAGAAAUAACUACCUGUAAACUCUCCCACAAGUUGAUGUGCCGUAUCCUGACUGAUGCAACGUGCCCUGUUGGCCUGCUCUCUUUGCUGCACUCCUGGUUGCAGUCAAAUAGGAAGAACAAGUCUUGAGUCCAAUAUUAAGCUUUGAGUACAUUCCAAUAUUGACACCAAUGAGAAAUACAGCAAAAAAGAGCUGGGAUGCUGUGGUUCAAUGUCCUUAACUUAAAUAUUCACUCUUUCCUCUGUCUUUCUUAAAUUCCUGCUGCUUCUUUUCAUGCAAUUGAAGUUUAGCUUUCAGAAACUCUAAUUUUUGGAAAGAAUCUUUGAGGUACUGAUGAAAAGAACUGAUCUUUUAAAGACAGCAUUAAGAAAUAACAAAAAAUAAAAUCAUCAUAGCAAUUACCACCACAAUUACUUGAUCUCAAUGCUUAAUACAUAGACAUAGCUUUCACAUAGUUAUGCAAGUUAAAUCUGCAGUCUCUCAUUCUUUCUACAACAUUUUCAGAAAAAAAAAUGUACAUGGCAGCAACGUGAUCUAUGACCUUUUAGUGCAUGAAAUUCUUACAAUGUCAGAGAGAGAGAGAGGAAGAGAGAAUUAAUCAACACAAUGCCAAAAGUGAUUCAUAAUUCCAUGUAACUCAACCUGCCAUCUGCAGUACAGGCCAUAGAAAUUAGAUAGUUAAGAAGAGGUAGGAGGCUAUGAUCUGUCAAUGUGCUUCAUGUUUUCCCUUGCAAAAAUGUAACAAAUGCUGUAUCAUUUGCGUACCAACCUGUUUUGUUAAUUCAGAGCCAGCAAGAGUAUAUAGCAAGGGAUUAUGCUGUAAUAUAAAGGCAUAGCCUGUAAAGUUAGAUAUUAGAGAUUUUCAAUUCUACUGCUGCAGUAUCUUCAGGGGACAAAUUUUUAUAGCUGUUUUCCUUGUACCAAUACAUGGGACAAGGAAGCAGUCGGACUUUGUGCUAUGUGACAUCACCAUACAUCAAGUGCCUUCAUGCCUUUCUUCAGUCAUGUCACUGGGAUAACAGAAGAAUGCAGCUUGUGUAGCAUCAGAUCUGAGCAUGUUUUUGAAGUGCUGGCAAAAAAAAAAAAAAAAAAAAAAAAAAAAA
rnacentral:lncRNA from 1 species